UACGGAGGGUGCAAGCGUUAUCCGGAUUUAUUGGGUUUAAAGGGUGCGUAGGUGGCCUGUUAAGUCAGGGGUGAAAGACGGUAGCUUAACUAUCGCAGUGCCCUUGAUACUGAUGGGCUUGAAUGAACUAGAGGUAGGCGGAAUGUGACAAGUAGCGGUGAAAUGCAUAGAUAUGUCACAGAACACCAAUUGCGAAGGCAGCUUACUAUGGUUUUAUUGACACUGAGGCACGAAAGCGUGGGGAUCAAACAGG
rnacentral:rRNA from 1 species